GCAUCAGCUCAGGCCGGCGGGGCCAGGCGAGAGUCUGCAGUGCAGAGAACCGGCACCCCAGCCACUGCACGACUCCCACCAACGGCACAAUGAGGCCUCUGAGCCCCCCCUCUCCAUCCCUCCGGAGGUCCUUGAGGGAAGAGUCUGAGAACCCCAGGAAGUGACAGGAAGUGAGUAUGUUUGGGGUCACCCUUACAAGCGCUCGUAAAGAUGCCCUACUGCAAUUCUGCAAAAGAAGUUAAAGAGUUGCUGUAGGCGGGAGCAGCUAGAGCUGUAAGACUGAGCUCCUUGCACACCAGGCGGAUGAAGCGCUCAUCGUGAGAUACCAGAAUGACACCACCCUGAAAGACAAAACACAAGUGCUCAAGGGAUAAGGCAUCAAAGCGCAGCACCCUCAGGAAGAAGAGCCAGGCAAGAACACGCUCACCCUGAAGCUGUUGAGAGCAUGGCCCAAAGCUUCAAUUGUCUCCAUGUCCAGAUGGUUCGUGGGUUCAUCCAGAAUAUAGAAGUUGGGGCUGGAAGGGAGAACACAUGUUACAAGAUGGUAGAAAAUUAAUUCUCAUGGCACAAAGAAGAAUCAUUUUAUACUGGGCAGGAAGGGGAAAGAUAAGGCAAGACCCCUCCCCCCCCAACUAGACUCACCAAGGCAUGGUCAUCUGAGCAAAGGCUACCCGGCUCUUCUGGCCCCCAGAUAAGCUUGCAACAGGGCGCAUGGCCAGUUCUCCAGAGACGCCAUACCGGCCUAACUGGUGACGAUAUUCCUCUUCAGGUCGCCCUGGAAAAGGCCCCGACAUCAGAUGAGCUCUUGACACAGCUCUCUUGCUGCUUCCUAGGCUCUCCCCCCCACCCCCGUCUCUCUCUCUCUGAAGAUUUAUUUAUUUUUAUGUAUAUGAGUACACUGUAGCUGUCUUCAAACACACCAGAAGAGUGCAUUGGAUCCCAUUACAGAUGGUUGUGAGGCACCAUGUGGUUGCUGGGAAUUGAACUCAGGACCUCUGGAAGAGCAGUCAGUGCUCUUAACCACUGAGCCAUCUCUCCAGCCCUAGGUUCUCCUUCUCUCUCUCUCUCUCUCUCUCUUUUUUUUUUGGUUUUUCGAGACAGGGUUUCUCUGUGUAGCCCUGGCUGUCCUGGAACACUCUGUAGACCAGGCUGGCCUCGAACUCAGAAAUCCGCCUGCCUUUGCCUCCCAAGUGCUGGGAUUAAAGGCGUGCGCUACCACCGCCCAGCUAGGUUCUCCUUCUCAAUGCCCAUGUUCUUAUAACUAGACUUAGGGAGACUUCUGUAGACUGACUGACUCAAAACAGACCUAGCUGCAAGGAUCAGCAAAAAUACUCUUACUGCAAACUGUACACCUAACAUACCAGGAAAUUUUCGAGCCAGGAGUUCCACAGCACUGACAUUCAAGUCUAGCUGCUCCACGUGGUGCUGGCUAAAAUAGCCGAUCUUCAGAUUCCUAAAGGCAAAAAUGAAGGCAGGAAGCACAACUAUGAAGUAGUAUAAGCAGCUAUGAAGUAGUAUAAGAGUGUGUAUGAGUGUGCAGAAAGUUCAUGGGGGGGCACUACCUGUGGGUUGUGGAGUAGUACAGGUAGCUGAGUAUGUGUGAGUGUGUACACAGUUCAUGGGGGUGGGCCGGGUGGGGUCCAUUACCUAUGGACUAUGGAGUAGUAUAGGUAGCUGAGUGUGUGUGUGUACACAGUUCAUGGGGGUGGGGUCCAUUACCUGUGGGUUGUGGAGUAGUACAGGUAGCUGAGUGUGAGUGUGUACAUAGUUCAUGGGGGUGGGGUCCAUUACCUGUGGGCGUGCCUGAUACCCCGAACAGGAGCCAGGUCCCCCAUGAGCAGCUUCAGCAUAGUAGAUUUCCCAGCCCCAUUCUCCCCAACCUGCAGGAAGCACGAGCAUGAAUGUGAGUGUGCAUGGAGGGCACAGAGGGAAGGAGGAGGCGGAGCCUGGGUAGUCCCAGCCUUACAACCAACAAACUCUAAGGAACUAGAGGAACUGGAGACUGAUCUGACCCUCAAAUUUGGGCAGAAGGUACUUUUUACUUGCUAUUUCCCCAGCUUUACCUCCCUUCUGAGGAAAAGGAAAUCUCCCUAAAACCAAGCUCAAACCCCCUGAACUUUAGCCUAUGUUCUUGCUUUGAUGUCUCAUGACUGUCAUAGUGCAGAAACAAGGACAGUAAGGUAAAUUACUGCUCUAUGUAUUUACAAAAUGCCACAUGCCAGGUUUUUCAUCUCUGAAAACCCUGAGACUACAGAGAAGGCAGCAGUGUAUGAGUUCCUGUGUCUAGGCCCCGCCCAUUUCUCUUUGUAGUCUUGCUUCUACUGUGUCAGGACUGGCCCAACCCACGCCUGUCCAAGAAGACAACUCCGGGGCCCUCAACAGAAGAGCAACCGUACCACACAGAUGCGGGACUCAAGAUCAGCAGAGACAGACAGGCGACUGAAGAUGACGUGUUUAGGAUCAUAGUAGAAAUCCACCUCAUCUAGCUGCAGAAUUGGCGGUGAGAACUUCUCAAAGCCGUCAGGGAACCUGCAGGAGGUACAAGGGUGGAGUGUGGAGUAGCCGCAAUGCAAGCUCCCCACCAGCUCCCCUGGCUUAAGGACUCACUUCAACACCACCUCUGACUCCUUGUCCACCGGUUUUAGUUCAGGCCUGAGAAGAGAGAUGGAGAAAUGAUUAUUUUAACAAGAUAUUAAAGCAGAAAGGAGAAUACUGUGGGUAGAAAAGUUUAAGCAGGGAAGGGAAGACAGGAAGUUGAGGGGAAGAGUCAAGAUGUAUGGAACUAAAAUGUGUUUUGGAAAAACUAAACGAUGUAUAGAAAAGACACAAGGAAACCUGAUACUUUAAUUUGAACUGGGUGGUGGUGGCGCACACCUUAGCCCAGUACUCAGGAAGCAGAGGCAUCUCUGUGAGUUCAAGGUCAUCCUGAACUAAAGAUCAAAUCCAGGACCACCAGGGCUAUACAGAGAAACUCUGCAUCAAAAAAAGGUUUCAACAGAAGUACCCUGUGUGUGUGGCUAUAGCUGCUCCAAGAACCUACAGGUUAUUAGAGAAAGUCCCAGUGCAGCGCUGGGCUACCUCCCUACAAGCUGAUGGUCAGGAAACAACACAGGCAAUGAAGCUCCCCCUGGCUAGCCCUUGGUGCUGGGAGGUGCUCUGCAGGAUGCUGGGGGAGAACAGCCACCAAUAGUUUGCCUUAGCCAUGGAUUUGUGUGUCACACUACUGUCUAGCCAGGCCAGGAGUGCCCAUUUGCAAGUCUAUUACAGGAUAAUCAACUGCUGCCAGACUGGAAUUGAGGACUGCUCCACAGGAAGAACUUGCAUCUGUACUGUAAAUCAGACCCCCCCUCCCCAGAGGCCAUAAGCUCUAGUGUGGAAGCCACAGCUAUUUGUUAAAUCAUCACCAUGUGACCAUUAAUUGCCUUCUAAAUAACUAUGUUUAUCACCAUAGGUUCAUCAGCUACAAUCUGAGAAGCAGUAACUGCAGAGACUCAUAACUUGUCAAAGUGCUGUUAACAAGUGACUGUUGAGUGUGCAGUCAUAAAUAGGAGGUAACAUUCCCUCAAGGGCUCAGGGACAUAGAAAGCGAAGGCAGAAGGAACUAGAGCAUGGGAUGGAAUGUUAUGAAAUAGUCUUCUAGGCAUGACCUGGCCAUGACACUCACUCCAAAUUGCUGGGAUUACUGUACUGGAUCUGCAUGAGACUGGGCCUGUCCUGAAGGGGCUGAGCUCAUGAGCUGGUACUACUGAGGGUUUAUAGGCAAUUAACAGUUACUAGGGGAGAGAGAGACAUUUUCUUCAGUAGUGUAGCUACCAGUGAUCUUCUGUAAAUAACACCUUACCUAUACUCUCGUCAGAAAUCCUAAUGGAACUUAAUAUCAUAAAAAGUCCAUUACACACACACACACACACACACACACACACACACACACACACACAAAUAUAAACA